ACGUGAAACAAAACCCGCUCUUCUCCACUGCUAACUGCUAACUGCUAACUGACUCGCGUAGCUAGCUAACGAGCUUCAUUUUUAUUCGAAUCGACUCGCUAACGCGAUAAAGAGCGAGUGUCGUGUUCAUGAAUGUAAAGAUAAACAGAGGUUCAGUGACAUCACAGACUGAUUUAAACUCAGGACGUUGGACUUUACGCUAAAACAUCACAGUCCGGAUGAAGAAACUAGCAUCAGCGCAGCUCUAGCUAUAAUGUUGGAGAGAACUUGUUUCGCCAACUUUCCACAACAUUAAAGGACAUCGUGCAGGGUGCAGCUGAUGAACAGGGGAUGAGUGCUUAAGAACGGAGUGUGUGUGUGUGUGAGAUGACAUGGAUGAGACGUGGAGUGUGUGAGUGUGUGUGUGUGUGUGAGUGAGUGGAGUCUGAUAGGCGAGAGGUCGUGGAGUUCGACUGCAGAAAAAGACACCAAAAUUCAGCUGAAUAAAAACCCCGCUGCUACUCAGCUCCCGCUCGUGUAAUUGGUGUUGGAGGAGCUCCGUGUGUGUGUGUGUGUGUGUGUGUGUGUGUGUGUGAGUGUGUGUGUGUGUGUGAGUGAGUGAGUGAGAGGUGGAUUUAGGGGUUUUUGUUCCGUUCCUCGGUUCCCUGCUGUUUAUGGAUGCUCACCAAAUCUGUUCUCGGCGUAUGAAAGAGAAGAAGCUGGUCUUUUCUCUCGUCCGCUUCAGUUCUCAUCGUUUAAAACCCAGUGAAGACGCAGAACAGCGCAAACUGUGACCUUUAACCCAGUGAAACGCAGCCGAUCUGCUGAGACACACACCGCUCACGUCAUUCAUUCCGUCCUGGAGCUAAGAAGAACCCCCACGUUGACCCUCCACCCCAGACCACAGAUCCUCAGUCCGAUGCGAUCAGUCAGUUCCUGCGAACACGGAGGAAAGCGUAGGACCUCGUUACGGUUUCAUCUUCUCCCGUCACGUCCGACUCUCAUUACACGUGUACAGAGACGUUAGGAGGAAGAAUAGAGCUUGGAAGCAGCAGACUGUUGGUGCCUGUGGUGAGUGUAUGUAGCUCGUGCAGUUAGCACGCUUUGCUAAUCUGAUCUGAGAACAGAGACGAGCGCGUAACGCGCAUCACACACCUGAUGUUUACUUUCACACAGAUUAGUGUUACUUCAUCUGUUCCACUCGUUAGCUUUAGACGCUGUAUAUAACUACUGUUUCUCAUCAGAGCGAAAGAAAGAACUCCUCCCACUGCCAUGUAACUCCUCCCACUCUGGUUAAACUGCUCCCACUGCCAUGGAACUACUUCUUCUGUCCUGUAACCCCUCCCACUUUUGUGUAACUCCUCCCACUGUGGUCUAACUCCUUCCUCUGUCCUGUAACCCCUCCCACUGCCAUGUAACUCCUUCCUCGGUCCUGUAACCCCUCCCACUUUGGUGUAACCUCGCCCACUUUGGUGUAACCCCUCCCACUGCCAAGUAAUACCUUCCUCUGUCCUGUAACCCCUCCCACUGUGAUGUAACUCCUUCCACUAUCAUGUAACUCCUCCCACUCUGGUGUAAGUCCUCCCACUGCCAAGAAACUCCUUCCCCUGUCCAGUAACCCCUUUCACUGUGGUGUAACCCCUCCCACUAUCAUGUAACUCCUCCCACUGUCAUGUAACCUUCCUCUGUCCUGUAACUCCUCCCACUGUCAUGUAACUCCUUCUUCUGUCCUGUAACCCCUCCCACUGUGGUAUAACUCCUCCCACUGUUGUAUAACUCCUCCCAUUGUUAUAUAAUCCCUCCCACUGUGUUGUAACUCCUCCUACUAUGGUGUAACUUCUUAGUCAGCUUUGUGCAGUUCAGUGUGGACAAAAGUUUUUAUUUUAGAUUUUUUAAAUAUUAAUUUUAAUGAACACAAAAACACUCAAAAGUUGUAUCAGUUGCACAAAUGUUCAAUACAUAAAGAUCUG
ensembl:lncRNA